GAUGAACGCUGGCGGCGUGCCUAAUACAUGCAAGUCGAGCGGUAAGGUCCCUUCGGGGAUACACGAGCGGCGGACGGCUGAGUAACACGUAGGAACGUACCCCAAAGUGAGGGAUAAGCACCAGAAAUGGUGUCUAAUACCGCAUGUGCUCUAAGGAGUAAAGCUUCGGCGCUUUGGGAACGGCCUGCGUCCGAUUAGCUAGUUGGUGAGGUAAUAGCUCACCAAGGCGACGAUCGGUAGCUGGUCUGAGAGGAUGAUCAGCCAGACUGGGUCUGAGACACGGCCCAGACUCCUACGGGAGGCAGCAGUAGGGAAUUUUCCACAAUGGGCGAAAGCCUGAUGGAGCAACGCCGCGUGCAGGAUGAAUGCCUUCGGGUUGUAAACUGCUUUUAUAUGUGACGAUUAUGACGGUAACAUAUGAAUAAGGAUCGGCUAACUCCGUGCCUGCAGCCGCCGCGG
rnacentral:rRNA from 1 species